rnacentral:tRNA from 1 species
AGACCCUGGCACAUGUCUAACGUGCAUCAAUGAGUUUGCAACUCACCAUGAACUUCACCACAGGGCC